CUACGGGUGGCUCCAGUGGGGAAUAUUGCACAAUGGAGGAAACUCUGAUGCAGCAACGCCGCGUGGAGGAUGACACUUUUCGGAGCGUAAACUCCUUUUAUAUAGGAAGAAGAUGACGGUACUAUAUGAAUAAGCGCCGGCUAACUCCGUGCCAGCAGCCGCGGUAAUACGGAGGGCGCAAGCGUUACUCGGAAUCACUGGGCGUAAAGAGCGUGUAGGCGGAUUAAAAAGUCAGAAGUGAAAUCCUAUAGCUUAACUAUAGAACUGCUUCUGAAACUCUUAAUCUAGAAUAUGGGAGAGGUAGAUGGAAUUUCUGGUGUAGGGGUAAAAUCCGUAGAGAUCAGAAGGGAUACCGAUUGCGAAGGCGAUCUACUAGAACAUUAUUGACGCUGAGACGCGAAAGCGUGGGGAGCAAACAGGAUUAGAUACCCGAGUAGUC
rnacentral:rRNA from 1 species